UAUGCCCUUAUUAGGAACAUGCUUCGUCAGAGCUGGGGAGGAGGAGUCUGUAAACCCGCCAUGAUUUCCCCUCGAACGUGGUCAUUGUGGUAAACGGGGAGGAGUGAGGAGGAGCUGUCUAUUCUUUUUAACAGUCUAUGCUACAACCCCGCUCACUGAAUGUUCCAAAGAAUCUGGUGGCAGUGUCUAUUUGCAAGUGUGAUGAGAUGUUGGAUUCAGAUGACUGCGCUCUAUCCCUGGACAAUCUCUUUUUUGAGAAACCCAUCGUCCAUAAAGUGAAGCCAUUAUUACGCCAAGAGACGAGUCAAUGGCAGCUGGAAAUGCCGCCAUGUUUGUCCCAGAUCCCUGCCACUCAGGACAUG
rnacentral:lncRNA from 1 species